UACGUAGGUGGCGAGUGUUGUCCGGAUUUACUGGGCGUAAAGGGAGCGUAGGCGGAUUUUUAAGUGAGAUGUGAAAUACUCGGGCUCAACUUGAGUGCUGCAUUUCAAACUGGAAGUCUAGAGUGCAGGAGAGGAGAAUGGAAUUCCUAGUGUAGCGGUGAAAUGCGUAGAGAUUAGGAAGAACACCAGUGGCGAAGGCGAUUCUCUGGACUGUAACUGACGCUGAGGCUCGAAAGCGUGGGGAGCAAACAGG
rnacentral:rRNA from 1 species